rnacentral:tRNA from 1 species
GCCGAAGUGCUGAAAUUGGCAGACAGGCACGCUUCAGGAGCGUGUGUCAGCAAUGACGUGCGGGUUCAACUCCCGCCUUCGGCA